rnacentral:rRNA from 1 species
GAUGAACGCUGGCGGCGUGCUUAACACAUGCAAGUCGAGCGAGAAGUUUUGAAAAGAUUCUUCGGAUGAAAUUUAAAAUGGAAAGCGGCGGACGGGUGAGUAACGCGUAGGCAACCUGCCCCAUACAAAGGGAUAGCAUUUGGAAACGAAUAUUAAUACCUUAUGAAACUUAACUAGUGCAUGCUAGGUAGGUCAAAGAUUUAUCGGUAUGGGAUGGGCCUGCGUCUGAUUAGCUAGUUGGUGAGGUAACGGCCCACCAAGGCGACGAUCAGUAGCCGACCUGGGAGGGUGGACGGCCACAUUGGAACUGAGACACGGUCCAAACUCCUACGGGAGGCAGCAGUGGGGAAUAUUGCACAAUGGGGGAAACCCUGAUGCAGCAACGCCGCGUGAACGAUGAAGGCCUGUGGGUCGUAAAGUUCUGUUCUAGGUGAUGAAAACUGACAGUAACCUAGGAGAAAGCCCCGGCUAACUCCGUG